rnacentral:rRNA from 1 species
UGGGGGAUAUUGCACAAUGGGCGAAAGCCUGAUGCAGCGACGCCGCGUGGGGGAUGAAGGCUUUCGGGUUGUAAACCUCUUUUGCUAUCGAACAAGGCCCGCUUAGGGUGGGUUGAGGGUAGGUGGAGAAGAAGCGCCGGCUAACUACGUGCCAGCAGCCGCGGUAAUACGUAGGGCGCGAGCGUUGUCCGGAAUUAUUGGGCGUAAAGGGCUUGUAGGCGGCUUGUUGCGCCUGCUGUGAAAACGCGGGGCUUAACUUCGCGCGUGCAGUGGGGACUGGCAGGGUUGAGUGUGGUAGGGGUGACUGGAAUUCCAGGUGUAGCGGUGGAAUGCGAAGAUAUCUGGAGGAACACCAAUGGCGAAGGCAGGUCACUGGGACAUUACUGACGCUGAGGAGCGAAAGCAUGGGUAGCGAACAGG